AAGCACCAAACGAGGCAAUGAUGCCAAGGACAAUGUGUUAGGGCUCUCCAGAGAAACAAAACCAACAGGAGAGAGAGAGACAGAAAUAGAGAGAGAAAGGGAGAGAUUUAUUAUGAAGAACUAGGUCAUGUCAUUACAGGGGCUGGGAAGUUCCACAGUCCACCAUCGGCCAGCUAGAGACCCAGGAUUACCUGUUGUGUAGCUCCAGUCUGAGCUAGAGGCCUGAGAACCGGCAGAAUUGAUGGUGAUGAAGGGGCCAUACCAACCCUUUUACUAACAGCUUGGAG
rnacentral:lncRNA from 10 species